UACAGAGAGUGCAAGCGUUAAUCAGAAUUACUGGGCGUAAAGCGCACGUAGGUGGAUACCUAAGUCAGAUGUGAAAGUCCUGGGCUUAACCUGGGAAUUGCACCUGAUACUGGGUAUCUUGAGUAUGGUAGAGGGAAGUGGAAUUUCCGGUGUAGCGGUGAAAUGCGUAGAUAUCGGAAGGAACACCAGUGGCGAAGGCGGCUUCCUGGACCAAUACUGACACUGAGGUGCGAAAGCGUGGGGAGCAAACAGG
rnacentral:rRNA from 1 species